UUCAGAUUAUCAAAAACGACUAGUUUGAUUCAAUUGGCUCAUAUGCACAACCAGAAAGUGUUAUCGGAAAAAGAAAACGCAAAGUUGGAAGGUAAGAGGCGUAAGGCAGAAGAUGCAGUGAAAAAGGCCGACAUUGAAUAUUAUACGUUAUGCGUUAGAGCCGAACGCGCAAGACUGGAGUGGGAAUCUGACAUAUUGAGGGGUUCGAAUACAUUUCAAGUACUAGAAGAAGAAAGACUGAAUAAUU